CCCGAUGGGAGCCCGGCGGGGAGGUGCUCGAGCUCGAGCUACACCACGGGCGAGGGGGAUCCGACAGGUUGAUGCGCCGUCGCUCUCCUUCUGCAGUUUUUGUGUGUGCAUAUGUACAACGUCCCAUUUUCCCCAUUUUUACCGAUGUUUGAUGAAUUUUGCUAGAUGCUGAGUACUAUGAGCUUUUUUGAACACAUUUUUUGCCACUAUGUGUGUACGAAAUAGUCCCGAAAUUUGCCAUGCUACACUAAAAUCUGAGUAGAACAUAAUUUUUUGCUGUGAUUUUUGUAGUUACUAACUUUGUCAUGUGAUUAGUACACAAAUUUAGGUUUUUGGUCCUAUAAUACAUGACAAUUUCUAAUCACGAUGUUUAGCACAACAUGGAAAUUCCUUAGAUUAUUACAAAUUCUCAUACCAUGGCAAAUUUAUAAAUUGUUAGUUCAUUCACACAUGACAAUAUUUUUGAUAGAUUCUCUCUUAAUAGUUUAUUGCCAUGGGAACUUAGGUAAAUUUACCAUGUUAAUAAGGGUAAAUUAGCCAUGGCAAAUAAAAAGUAAAACUUGCCAUGCCAAUAAAAGUUAAAUAUUGUCAUGGAGAUUCACGUAACUUUGCCAUGUUAAUAAGGGUCAAUUAGCCAUGGCAAAUAAAUAGUAAAACUUGCCAUGGCAAUAAAAGUUCAAUAUUGCCAUGGAGAUUUAGGUAAAUUUGCCGUUAUUAAUAAAAGUCAAAUAAAUAAUAAAACUUGCCAUGGCAAUAAAAAGUUAAAUAUUGCCAUGGGGAUUUAGGUAAAUUUGCCAUGUUAAUAAAAGGUAAAUUUGCCAUGGCAAAUAAAUAGUAAAACUUGCCAUGGCAAUAAAGUGUUAAGAUUGCCAUGGGGAUGUAGGUAAAUUCACCAUGUCAUUUUGUGUUGUUUUCGACAAUUUAAAGAAUUAUGUGACAAUUUAAAAAACCAUAAGUUGCCAUGGCAAGAAAGCAAUGACUUUGCCAUGAUUCGAGAACUAAAUUUGCCAUGAUUCGAUAACUAUGUUUGCCAUCUUCCAGGAUGCAAUUUUGCUAUGAUGCGUAAACUAAAAUUUGCCAUGAUCAAUCAACUAAAUUUUUUAUGUUUACAUGGCAAAAAGUAAAUUUUGCCACCUUCCAGGAAAAUUUAAGAAAAAUUGUACAGUGAGACGGCAAAUUUAAGAAAAUCACAGGAAAUCUGUAUAAUAAAAGAAAGUUGGUUCAGGCUUGGUUCAACAGUUGGAUGGUACAAAAAAAAUUGGAACCACCCUCUGUACACCAUUAGGUUCUUGAUUGUAUGUCAAAUUUUGAAAGUUGGUUCAGGUUUGGGUCACAGAUUGUAAAUCAGUUUCACUCCAUUCAGGCAUUGGCUAUUAAUUUGAUCCAUCAGCCAUGCCAUGUCAACUUAAUAUGUUCAAAAACAUGGCAAACUUGCCACGGCAAAAUUUACUUUUACAUACAAGUCAAAUUAUUUGUUUUAGUCUAUCAUUGAAAAUUAAACUUGCUUUUCUAUUUUUGCCACGGCAAAUUCAGCUUCAUUGAUAUGGCAAAUUUAGCUAUACUGCCAUGUCAAAGUUUACCUUUUAUUGCCAUGGCUGUACGUUUUCUUCAUACUUUUUUAUUGCAAUGGAAAAUUUAGUUUUAGUGCCAUGGCAAAAUUAUCUACACUGUCAUGGCAAAUUUAGUUUUAUUACCAUGUAAAAAUUAUCUAUAUGCAACUCAUGUAAAUUUCUGUAAUAUACCUUUUUUCAUAAUUAUAUGGUGGUUUUUUGUAUAUUAGACCAUGGCAACUUUGUCCCUAGAUUUUUUUC
rnacentral:rRNA from 1 species